GACGAACGCUGGCGGUAUGCUUAACACAUGCAAGUCGAACGAGACAAGAUGGAAGGAUCCUUCGGGUGACGGAAAUCUUAGAAAGUGGCGAACGGGUGAGUAACGCGUGGGUAACCUGCCCUAUGGAAAGGAAUAGCCUCGGGAAACUGGGAGUAAUGCCUUAUAAUAUAUGUUUGUCGCAUGGCAGAUAUAUUAAACGCUCCGGUGCCAUAGGAUGGACCCG
rnacentral:rRNA from 1 species